AACUGCUAGUAAAGCACGUAAUGACGAACACGUGAGGUAGGGGCAAACAACUCCAGGCCUGGCUUCUGCUCCCGACGUGUUCCGGCGCGUCCGGGUUCAAAUCCGCCUGCCGACCUCUCGGGGUGUUUGAGAGGUGAUGAAAUGGGAGGUGGCUCCCCAUCUUAUGGACGGUGUAGGACGUGAUAAAAUCAACUCGCGAGCUGACCAGGAACUAAGUUGACGCGCCGUUGAUCCGCUAGAUCUGGUUGGAUGCUGGUGGUGAGUUGCCAAACUCAAAGAGUACACGCUGAAGUCGGAUGGGGUGAAUGGCUUAGGGUGCCCCUCUAGCAGGGGAGAGCAGGGAAUUGCCUCGGGAAGGAGGCCACUGGUGAAGCUUAACCACCCUGUAACAACAUCAACAACCCCACGCUCGUCCGUCUUAACGAACAUCGCCGAAUCAGACUUCGAAGGAUAAAGACCCAGCUUGGCGAACUCUGCUGAUAGCUUUACAUACCAUGGCAGGCGGCUGGCAGAAGUUAAGGCCUGACUUCUGCUCCCAGUCGAUCCAGUCGACCCGGGUUCAAAUCCGCCUGCCAGCUCCUCGGGUAUUUGAGGAGUGAUGAAAUGGGAGGUGGCCCCCCAUCAUAUGGACGGUGUAGGACGUGAUAAUAUCAACUUGCGAGCUGACCAGGAACUAAGUUGAUGCGCCGUUGAUCCGCUAGAUUUGGUUGGAUGCUGGUGGUGAGUUGCCGAACCCAACGAAUACAUUCUGAAGUCGGAUGGGGUGACGGAUUAGGGUGCCCCUCUAGCAGGGGAGAGCAGGGACUGCCCCGGGAAAGGGGGCCGCUGGCGAAGUUAACCACCCUGUAAUAACAUACAUACCAGCAACGGGGUGCCUGCUUCAAACCGUAAAUAGACCUCUCCAGCUUGCACGCAAGCGACCGGUCACUGGAUGCAUACCCAGGCGGUUGCUCCAUCCACAACUCCUCCUUCAACUCGCCAUUCAAAAAUGCAGUAGACACAUCGAGCUGGUGCACCGUCAUGUUCCGCGCUGCGGCAACUGCUAGUAAAGCACGUAAUGACGAACACGUGAGGUAGGGGCAAACAACUCCAGGCCUGGCUUCUGCUCCCGACGUGUUCCGGCGCGUCCGGGUUCAAAUCCGCCUGCCGACCUCUCGGGGUGUUUGAGAGGUGAUGAAAUGGGAGGUGGCUCCCCAUCUUAUGGACGGUGUAGGACGUGAUAAAAUCAACUCGCGAGCUGACCAGGAACUAAGUUGACGCGCCGUUGAUCCGCUAGAUCUGGUUGGAUGCUGGUGGUGAGUUGCCAAACUCAAAGAGUACACGCUGAAGUCGGAUGGGGUGA
rnacentral:lncRNA from 1 species